rnacentral:rRNA from 1 species
UACGGGGGGGGCAAGCGUUGUUCGGAAUUACUGGGCGUAAAGGGCCCGUAGGCGGCCAACUAAGUCCGACGUGAAAUCCCCAGGCUUAACCUGGGAACUGCGUCGGAUACUGGAUGGCUUGAAUUCGGGAGAGGGAUGCAGAAUUCCAGGUGUAGCGGUGAAAUGCGUAGAUAUCUGGAGGAACACCGGUGGCGAAGGCGACAUCCUGGACCGGUAUUGACGCUGAGGCGCGAAAGCCAGGGGAGCAAACGGG